rnacentral:pre_miRNA from 1 species
CACGGGGUGGGGGGGUACCUCAGCCUAGAUUGCGAGAGGGCACAAGCCAGGCUGAAGGACCCCACUGGUGCACA